rnacentral:misc_RNA from 1 species
UCUCCGUUGGUGAACCAGCGGAGGGAUCAUUACCGAGUUUACAACUCCCAAACCCUCUGUGAACCUUUCUUUUUGUUUCUUCCGCCGGAUCGCCCUGGCGCUUCACGGCGCCGGCUGUCGGCGCCCGCCGUCAGCUCCACACCCCUGUUUAUUUAUGUUUCCUCGCCGACUGGCACAAGCCAGAUAAUCCAAAACUUUCAAAAACGGUCUUCUUGGUUCUGGCAUCGAAGAAGAACGCACCACAACGGAAGACCACACUCCUGAACCCCAGACAAACCC